CACCACCCUUUCCUUUGCUUGGUCACAAAUUCCACUUUCUCUGUAGCCAGCCCUGCGCUGCCACUCCUCCUCAUCCACAUCUUACUGCAUUCAACCUUUUGCCAUUUCUCUCUUGCCGUACAUUUUUUUUUACGGGCGAUUUGAGGUUUUUGCACCCUGGAAAAUGGGCACCGGACAACGGGUUAGCAGGGCAUCAUAACGAAGGGAUGUUAUCUUCCUACUUUUGCUUGUUAUUUCGCUUUUAUGUUUUUCUUUUUUUUUUCUCCCUGCCACUGUUAUUCCGUCGUUGUUGUUGUUGCACUGCUUGUAGUUUUAGGCUCUUAUGUGUUUUUCGGGUCUGCUCGGAUUACCACGUGUUUGAGUGUGUGCUUUCAGGAAUGAGUGUGCACAGGGUUCUUGAUUAAUGCCAAAGCUUUGGCCUACACUUCUCCUCCAGCCUGACUCCAUCUCAUUCCAGAGGAUGUCUGACCAUCAAUUCCCUGUUGAUCUCUCUCUCUUCGUUUUGUCUGGCCACGUCCUCCCCUCCUCUGUCCCUCUGCUGGGCCGACCGGCGCAGACACACACACAGAGGACUGCGGCAGCCUCGGCCAUCACGGUCAGCUGGGUGAGUUCUUCCCUUCUCUCCUUCCUCGCAUCUUGGCUCAUCGCCCUGCCGACCUCCUUUUCUUCCUCCUCCUCCUCCUUCAUCUCACAGGCAAUCAGAUCUCAUUUUGUCUUCCUCACGAACAGGCUUAGCCUCCAUGCAGCCCCGAGCCGCGUGAUUGACAGGUGCGGUCCCAGAGGACCGACCAGCCUGCCGCUGUCAGGAGAUGUGAUUGCUCAUAGGGAGAAUAUAAGUUGUAAGGAGCUUUUGGUAUUUUUUUAACGACGGAGGGCAAUUUUAAUCCGGCUGUGCCGCUCUGCUCGCCGUCUGACUGGCAGCACUGCGCAUGUGCAUGGUGCAGCAUUUUGUGUUUUUUUUUUUAAUGUUUUUUUUAAGUGGAGAAUGAAAUGUGUUGUGCUAUUGAUAAUCAUGCUCCGAUUUGGCCGAGCAAGGCCGCGAAAUACGCCACGACAGAGCCACUCUCCUGAGCAUCAUGCAAUGAUCAAAUGCCAUCCCCCUUGUUGUGUGUGUGUGUGUGUGUGUGUGUGUAUGUGUGUGUGUGUGAGCCCAUCCAGGCGUGACUACAGCACACGUGCGUUCACUUGAAAUAAGAUGACUUGUGGUUAAUGUUUGUAUUAACAGCGCGUGCGAUGUGAUUCACGGUACGUAUCGGUAUCCGCCUACCCGCAGAAUACCACAAUGCUUAUUGUCACACAACAUGAAAAUGCGAUGCAUGAAGUAAAGCAUGUACGGCAGGUGCGCGCGGAUCUGACCCACCAAGACC
ensembl:lncRNA